GAUGAACGCUAUCGACAGGCUUAACACAUGCAAGUCGAGGGGCAGCACAGGUAGCAAUACCGGGUGGCGACCGGCGCACGGGUGAGUAACGCGUAUGCAACUUACCUAUCAGAGGGGGAUAACCCGGCGAAAGUCGGACUAAUACCGCAUGAAGCAGGGGCCCCGCAUGGGGAUAUUUGCUAAAGAUUCAUCGCUGAUAGAUAGGCAUGCGUUCCAUUAGGCAGUUGGCGGGGUAACGGCCCACCAAACCGACGAUGGAUAGGGGUUCUGAGAGGAAGGUCCCCCACAUUGGUACUGAGACACGGACCAAACUCCUACGGGAGGCAGCAGUGAGGAAUAUUGGUCAAUGGCCGAGAGGCUGAACCAGCCAAGUCGCGUGAGGGAUGAAGGUUCUAUGGAUCGUAAACCUCUUUUAUAAGGGAAUAAAGUGCGGGACGUGUCCCGUUUUGUAUGUACCUUAUGAAUAAGGAUCGGCUAACUCCGUGCCAGCAGCCGCGGUAAUACGGAGGAUCCGAGCGUUAUCCGGAUUUAUUGGGUUUAAAGGGUGCGUAGGCGGCCUUUUAAGUCAGCGGUGAAAGUCUGUGGCUCAACCAUAGAAUUGCCGUUGAAACUGGGAGGCUUGAGUAUGUUUGAGGCAGGCGGAAUGCGUGGUGUAGCGGUGAAAUGCAUAGAUAUCACGCAGAACCCCGAUUGCGAAGGCAGCCUGCCAAGCCAUUACUGACGCUGAUGCACGAAAGCGUGGGGAUCAAACAGGAUUAGAUACCCUGGUAGUCCACGCAGUAAACGAUGAUCACUAGCUGUUUGCGAUACACUGUAAGCGGCACAGCGAAAGCGUUAAGUGAUCCACCUGGGGAGUACGCCGGCAACGGUGAAACUCAAAGGAAUUGACGGGGGCCCGCACAAGCGGAGGAACAUGUGGUUUAAUUCGAUGAUACGCGAGGAACCUUACCCGGGUUUGAACGCAUUCGGACCGAGGUGGAAACACCUUUUCUAGCAAUAGCCGUUUGCGAGGUGCUGCAUGGUUGUCGUCAGCUCGUGCCGUGAGGUGUCGGCUUAAGUGCCAUAACGAGCGCAACCCUUGCCACUAGUUACUAACAGGUAAAGCUGAGGACUCUGGUGGGACUGCCAGCGUAAGCUGCGAGGAAGGCGGGGAUGACGUCAAAUCAGCACGGCCCUUACAUCCGGGGCGACACACGUGUUACAAUGGCGUGGACAAAGGGAAGCCACCUGGCGACAGGGAGCGAAUCCCCAAACCACGUCUCAGUUCGGAUCGGAGUCUGCAACCCGACUCCGUGAAGCUGGAUUCGCUAGUAAUCGCGCAUCAGCCAUGGCGCGGUGAAUACGUUCCCGGGCCUUGUACACACCGCCCGUCAAGCCAUGGGAGCCGGGGGUACCUGAAGUCCGUAACCGCGAGGAUCGGCCUAGGGUAAAACUGGUGACUGGGGCUAAAU
rnacentral:rRNA from 1 species